rnacentral:rRNA from 1 species
GACCAAGAAGUCUAACAUGUGUGCGAGUCAUUGGGUAUUUUGUUGAAACCUAAGGGCGCAAUUAAAAUAACUAUUUUAUGGGAUUACAAGUGAAUUAAUUUUCAUUUCUUCAUCCCGGGGCGUUCUAUACGAACAUGGUGCAAGCAAUUGAACCCUCUGUUCAAGAGCGUACCUUGAGCAUACAUGCUGUGACCCGAAAGAUGGUGAACUAUACCUGAUCAGAUCGAAGCCAGGAGAAAUUCUGGUGGAGGAUCGAAACAGUUCUGACGUGCAAAUCGAUUGUCAGAAUUGGGUAUAGGGGCGAAAGACCAAUCGAACCAUCUAGUAGCUGGUUCCCUCCGAAGUUUCCCUCAGGAUAGCUGGCGCAAAGAAUUAUAUUAUAUAUAAUCUUAUCUGGUAAAGCGAAUGAUUAGAGGCCUUGGGGCCGAAACGACCUCAACCUAUUCUCAAACUUUAAAUGGGUAAGAACCUCAUCUUUCUUGAUCUGAAGAUAUUGGGGUUUAGAUAUAUUGUGCCCAGUGGGCCACUUUUGGUAAGCAGAACUGGCGCUGUGGGAUGAACCAAACAUGAUGUUACGGCGCCUAAAUUAAUGACUCAUAUUGAUACCAUGAAAGGCGUUGGUUGCUUAAAACAGCAGGACGGUGGACAUGGAAGUCGUAAUCCGCUAAGGAGUGUGUAACAACUCACCUGCCGAAGCAACUAGCCCUUAAAAUGGAUGGCGCUCAAGUCAUAUGCCUAUACAUCAUCGCUAGAAUAAAAAUUGUUGAUCAUUUGGUCAUCAUUAUGAAAUUCUAGUGAGUAGGAGGGUACAAUGGUGUGCGCAGAAGUGUUUGGCGUGAGCCUGCAUGAAGCCGCCAUUGGCACAGAUCUUGGUGGUAGUAGCAAAUAAUCGAAUGAGAUCUUGGAGGACUGAAGUGGAGAAGGGUUUCGUGUGAACAGUGGUUGAUCACGAGUUAGUCGGUCCUAAGCUUUAUGCGAAAGCUGUUUAAUUUAUGUUACACACAAAAUUUUUGUUGUACAUAAUUCAAUAAAAGCGAAAGGGAAUACGGUUCCAAUUCCGUAACCUGUUGAGUAUACGUUUGUUUAUUAAAAAUGGGUCUUAUUACACUCAUCCUGGCAACAGGAACGACCAUAGAGAAGCCUUCGAGAGAUACUGGAAGAGUUUUCUUUUCUGCUAAACAAACGUAUCACCAUGGAAGUCUUUUAUAGAGAGAUAUGGUGGAUGGCUUGGAAGAGCAUGACAUUUACUGUUGUGUCAGUAUUUUCUCCUUGGACCUUGAAAAUCUAUGGUGGGGCCACGCAAACUUCUCAACAGACCGUACCGAUAUCCGCAG